rnacentral:rRNA from 1 species
GGCGAGCUAAUACCGGAUGUGAUAACUGGACGGCAUCGUUUGGUUAUUAAAGCUGGGGACCGUAAGGCCUGGCGCUUCAUGAUGAGCCCGCGGCCUAUCAGCUAGUUGGUGAGGUAACGGCUCACCAAGGCUAAGACGGGUAGCUGGUCUGAGAGGACGACCAGCCACACUGGAACUGAGACACGGUCCAGACACCUACGGGUGGCAGCAGUCGAGAAUUUUUCACAAUGGGCGCAAGCCUGAUGGAGCGACGCCGCGUGGGGGAUGAAUGGCUUCGGCCCGUAAACCCCUGUCAUUCGCGAUCAAACCUCAUUAUUUAAAAGAUGAUGAGCUGAUAGUAGCGGAAGAGGAAGGGACGGCUAACUCUGUGCCAGCAGCCGCGGUAAUACAGAGGUCCCAAGCGUUGUUCGGAUUCACUGGGCGUAAAGGGUGCGUAGGUGGUGAGGUAAGUCGGAUGUGAAAUCUUCGAGCUUAACUCGGAAAUUGCAUUGGAAACUACCU